CGCAGGCAUGUCCUGAAGCCCAGCUGAGCCUCUCAGCAGGCAGCUCCUUCCCCAGAGUCCCUUCUCCAGCUUCCCAAAGCCCCUGCGUCCGCCCAUACCUUGGGCACAGGUCCCUAAGACCAACUGAACACUCGAGCAUGAGCCAGGCAGACAGCCUGGGUGGAUGCCAGCAGAAAGAUUGGUGAAGACUGGAUCUCCUGGGCAGAAGCGGUGACAGGCACAUGGCGUCCAGUCCUGGGAACAGAUGGUUCCGCAGCAGCCAGCCCCAGCCUGAAAUGAGUUGCGGAGGCACUGCUGCCUGUCUCCACCAGCAAGAGGGAGGAGAGGCCCUUCCCGUGCCUGCAGCAGUCCAGGGUAGAUGCAAGCAGAAAGACUGGUGAAGACUGGAGCUCCUGGGCAGAAGCACUGACAGGACCUGGACAAAAUUCAAGAAGAUGUCCCAACCACAUGUAGCCUUACCUUUGAUACUUCCAAUUGCAAUGAGACUUAAAUUUUAGAAUAAGAGAUACACGCUGGGCGCGGUGGCUCACGUCUGUAAUCCCAGCACUUUGGUAGGCCAAGGCCGGUGGAUCACCUGAGGUCAGGAGUUUGAGACCAGCCUGGCUAACAUGGCAAAACCCCGUGUCUAGUAAAAAUACAAAAAUUAGCCGAGCGUGGUAGUGCACGCCUGUAAUCCCAGCUACUCAGGAGGUGGAU
rnacentral:lncRNA from 10 species